GCUUACGGCCACACCGCCUGGUUCACGCCUGAUCUCGGAAGCUAAGAUAGGUUGGGCCUGGUUAGCACUUGGAUGGGAGACCACCUGGGAAUACCAGGUGCUGCAAGCU
ensembl:rRNA 5S_rRNA 5S ribosomal RNA